UAGCGAAAUUCCUUGACGGUUAAAUACCGAGCUGCAUGAAUGGCGUAACGAGAUGGGAGCUGUCUCAAAGAGGGUUCCAGUGAAUUUGUAGUGGAGGUGAAAAUUCCUCCUACCCGCGGCAAGAAGGAAAGACCCCGUGGAUCUAUAAUAAGACAUGACACAGCUAUUUGGAUUAGAAUUUGCAGGAUAGGAGGGAGGCUUUGGGUAGAUGACGCCAGAUGCAGAUGAGCCGU
rnacentral:rRNA from 1 species